AACGAACGCUGGCGGCGCGUCUUAAGCAUGCAAGUCGAACGGCAAGAGAGAAGCUUGCUUCUCUCCUAGAGUGGCGGACUGGUGAGGAACACGUGGGUAAUCUACCCUUAAGAUGGGGAUAGCUGCUAGAAAUAGCAGGUAAUACCGAAUACACUCAGUUUUUCAUAAGAAGGAUUGAGGAAAGGAAGCUACGGCUUCGCUUGAGGAUGAGCUUGCGUCCCAUUAGCUUGUUGGUGAGGUAACGGCCCACCAAGGCGACGAUGGGUAUCCGGCCUGAGAGGGUGAUCGGACACAUUGGGACUGAGAUACGGCCCAAACUCCUACGGGAGGCAGCAGCUAAGAAUAUUCCGCAAUGGACGAAAGUCUGACGGAGCGACGCCGCGUGGAUGAAGAAGGCUGAAAAGUUGUAAAAUCCUUUUGUUGAUGAAGAAUAAGGGUGAGAGGGAAUGUUCAUCUGAUGACGGUAAUCAGCGAAUAAGCCCCG
rnacentral:rRNA from 1 species